AUGAACGCUAGCUACAGGCUUAACACAUGCAAGUCGAGGGGCAGCAUGAACUUAGCUUGCUAAGUUUGAUGGCGACCGGCGCACGGGUGAGUAACACGUAUCCAACCUGCCGAUGACUCGGGGAUAGCCUUUCGAAAGAAAGAUUAAUACCCGAUGGCAUAGUUCUUCCGCAUGGUGGAACUAUUAAAGAAUUUCGGUCAUCGAUGGGGAUGCGUUCCAUUAGGUUGUUGGCGGGGUAACGGCCCACCAAGCCUUCGAUGGAUAGGGGUUCUGAGAGGAAGGUCCCCCACAUUGGAACUGAGACACGGUCCAAACUCCUACGGGAGGCAGCAGUGAGGAAUAUUGGUCAAUGGACGAGAGUCUGAACCAGCCAAGUAGCGUGAAGGAUGACUGCCCUAUGGGUUGUAAACUUCUUUUAUACGGGAAUAAAGUGAGGCACGCGUGCCUUUUUGUAUGUACCGUAUGAAUAAGGAUCGGCUAACUCCGUGCCAGCAGCCGCGGUAAUACGGAGGAUCCGAGCGUUAUCCGGAUUUAUUGGGUUUAAAGGGAGCGUAGGCGGACGCUUAAGUCAGUUGUGAAAGUUUGCGGCUCAACCGUAAAAUUGCAGUUGAUACUGGGUGUCUUGAGUACAGUAGAGGCAGGCGGAAUUCGUGGUGUAGCGGUGAAAUGCUUAGAUAUCACGAAGAACUCCGAUUGCGAAGGCAGCCUGCUGGACUGUAACUGACGCUGAUGCUCGAAAGUGUGGGUAUCAAACAGGAUUAGAUACCCUGGUAGUCCACACAGUAAACGAUGAAUACUCGCUGUUUGCGAUAUACAGUAAGCGGCCAAGCGAAAGCGUUAAGUAUUCCACCUGGGGAGUACGCCGGCAACGGUGAAACUCAAAGGAAUUGACGGGGGCCCGCACAAGCGGAGGAACAUGUGGUUUAAUUCGAUGAUACGCGAGGAACCUUACCCGGGCUUGAAUUGCAACUGAAUGAUGUGGAGACAUGUCAGCCGCAAGGCAGUUGUGAAGGUGCUGCAUGGUUGUCGUCAGCUCGUGUCGUGAGAUGUUGGGUUAAGUCCCGCAACGAGCGCAACCCUUGUCACUAGUUGCUACGCAAGAGCACUCUAGUGAGACUGCCGGUUACAAACCGGAGGAAGGUGGGGAUGACGUCAAAUCAUCAUGCCCCUUAUGAUCUGGGCUACACACGUGCUACAAUGGCCACGACAGAGAGAAGCGAAAUCGUAAGGUAGAGCGGAACUCAAAAAAGUGGUCCCAGUUCGGAUUGUGGGCUGCAACCCGCCCACAUGAAGUCGGAAUCGCUAGUAAUCGCGGAUCAGCACGCCGCGGUGAAUACGUUCCCGGGCCUUGUACACACCGCCCGUCACACCACGAGAGUUUGUAACACCCGAAGUCGGUGAGGUAACCUUUUGGAGCCAGCCGCCUAAGGUGGGAUAGAUGAUUGGGGUG
rnacentral:rRNA from 1 species